CCUACGGGUGGCAGCAGUAGGGAAUCUUCCACAAUGGACGAAAGUCUGAUGGAGCAACGCCGCGUGUGCGAUGAAGGGUUUCGGCUCGUAAAACACUGUUGUAAGAGAAGAAUGACAUUGAGAGUACCUGUUCAGUGUGUGACGGUAUCUUACCAGAAAGGAACGGCUAAAUACGUGACAGUAGCCUCGGUAAUACGUAUGUUCCAAGCGUUAUCCGGAUUUAUUAGGCGUAAAGCGAGCGCAGACGGUUGUUUAAGACCGGUGUGAAAGCCCACAGCAUAACUGAGGAAGAUCUUGGGAAGCUGGAUAACUUGAGUGCAGUAGAGGAGAGUGAAACUGCGUGUGUGGCGGUGAAAUGCGUAGAUAUGUGGAAGAACACCAGUGGCGAAGGCGGCUCUCGGGACUGUAACUGACGUUGAGGCUCGAAAGUGUGGGUAGCAAACAGGAUUAGAUACCCGUGUAGUC
rnacentral:rRNA from 1 species